GAUGAACGCUGGCGGCGUGCCUAAUACAUGCAAGUCGAGCGAACGGACGAGAAGCUUGCUUCUCUGAUGUUAGCGGCGGACGGGUGAGUAACACGUGGAUAACCUACCUAUAAGACUGGGAUAACUUCGGGAAACCGGAGCUAAUACCGGAUAAUAUUUUGAACCGCAUGGUUCAAAAGUGAAAGACGGUCUCGCUGUCACUUAUAGAUGGAUCCGCGCUGCAUUAGCUAGUUGGUAAGGUAACGGCUUACCAAGGCAACGAUGCAUAGCCGACCUGAGAGGGUGAUAGGCCACACUGGAACUGAGACACGGUCCAGACUCCUACGGGAGGCAGCAGUAGGGAAUCUUCCGCAAUGGGCGAAAGCCUGACGGAGCAACGCCGCGUGAGUGAUGAAGGUCUUCGGAUCGUAAAACUCUGUUAUUAGGGAAGAACAUAUGUGUAAGUAACUGUGCACAUCUUGACGGUACCUAAUCAGAAAGCCACGGCUAACUACGUG
rnacentral:rRNA from 1 species